AUCACCGCAGCUGGUAGCAACAGCUCCAAGUCCCUGACAGAUGGACUUCAGUUUCCAGCUGUCAAACACCGUCUGUCCACAACCAAGAGAAUGUUUUCCCUUGUGAUGGUCAGGUGUGAGCCAGAAAGCGACUGGUGUUAUUUGGACUGCAGGACCAGGACGAUCAGGGCGAUCAGAGCGUGGCGACGCUUCACCUUUCAGGAGCAGUUGAGCGGUGCAGGAGGCUCUGACUCUUCAGCUGAUGCUGUUUGUCUGGCUACAUUUGACUGAACCAGCGGCGCCAUCCACAGUACAGAGGACACCCUGGACAGGAACGUCACCAGACAACCACUCGCACCUUCAGAUAAGUUGAUGAGGUCAUCUCCAACUCCCGCGCUGUCGAGUCACUCACUCGACUCUGUGUCUUGACCAGACCUGGGCAAAGCGUGGCCCGGGGGCCAUAUGCGGUCCGAUGCCUGUAUUUUCGUGGCCAUUUUUACGUCACACUGAAACUAUAAAUGAUGUGUUGUCAUUUUUCUUCCUUUUUUGUUCUUUCGUUUUUAGUCACCACCACCACUUCAGCAGUAAAUAUAGCACGUUUUUGUUUUAAGACUAGGACUUUCUUUUAUUUUUGUGUGUUUUUCUUGUUCCUCAAAAUACAUUGAAGGCAUAUUGAAACUAUGUUUUGAAAUAAAUUGCCUUAGGUCCCUGAGGAAACGUCAUUGCCCACCCCUGUUCUAACUAUGACCAAUAUAAUACGUCUGCGAAGGACAUACAAUAUAAGAAGCCACAAAAAGCCACAGCAGUUGACUCACCCAUGAACUCUAAAGCUUAUGUUAUGUUUUGACAUCAUGGCACUGGUAGCUUGAGGUAAACAGAAAACAGUAAACUGUAAAACAGACUGGCCAAAUGCUUCCCAUACAGAAAGUAAACACUGAAACUACUGGCAGCAGCAUGCGUCACACACAACAUGAAGUAAAUAUUGACUUAAAGAAUAGAAUGUUUACAGUCUGUAAGUUGCAAGCAACCCCCCCCCCAUGGACUAUCUGAGUCGGUGCCUUCUUUUAAUUUGCAUUUAAAAAUGCAUUUUUCAUUCUUUGUGUUGAUUUUAAUACUAAUGUAAAGCACUUUGUGAAUUACUGCCUGAAAAGUGCCAAAUAAAACAGCGAUUUUGUCAUCACAAUUCUUUAUCUAUA